rnacentral:lncRNA from 1 species
CCUGGGACCUGUUCCCUCUAAUUACAUUCCCUGGUCUUGACAAGUAAAUGCAUCCAGAGUAGGAGAAUGGGGGAUGGAGGAAUUUGUGGAACCCAUAGUUCCAUCAGCCAAACGGAACAGGGAGGAGUGGUGUGCUGGGAACACUUUCCCCAUGAGACCAGCAGCCUGCAUGAGUAGCUAAGAAAUGUAUGGGGAAUGAGAACUAAUCCUCUGUGAGAAGAACCUGUAAUUUCCCCCCAGGAGAAAAACAGUGCUACAGCUGGAAGGGCAGGCUCAAAAUCAAUGUCAACAGACGUUUCAGUGCAAUUUUAUCAGCCGUUUCUGCAUGUCACUGCUUUCCUGCUGCCCCGAUCGCCCCUCAAAAUCGUCUGUGGGAGUCAGAAUUCAUCUGGAGCAGAGAAGCAGGCAGCCCACACUUGGUGUUCCCAAAUCCGCUGAAGGGGCUUGUUUUGUCAGCCAGCAAUGUUUUCAGAGUUUGAAGCACCAGAAUAGAAUGCCAGCUUAAUUUAGGUGAAUCUCGAGUUUAAUUUACUAACUUUCAUUCCAAGAUUUGCAUUGUAAAUGAUAAGGUGAUUUUCAUAUAUAUAUUUUUUCUUUUAAUUUUUUUUAGCCCAUCAACAUCUGAAGGGAAAUUUUAUGUGGUCUGCUGCCAAGAAUGUAGAGUAACUUGCAUUUAAGGAGUUGUU